rnacentral:rRNA from 1 species
GGAUUCCCCUAGUAACUGCGAGUGAAGCGGGAAAAGCUCAAAUUUAAAAUCUGGCGGUUUGGCCGUCCGAGUUGUAGUCUGGAGAAGUGCUUUCCGCGCUGGACCGUGUAUAAGUCUCUUGGAACAGAGCGUCAUAGAGGGUGAGAAUCCCGUCUUUGACACGGACUACCAGUGCUUUGUGAUGCGCUCUCAAAGAGUCGAGUUGUUUGGGAAUGCAGCUCAAAAUGGGUGGUAAAUUCCAUCUAAAGCUAAAUAUUGGCGAGAGACCGAUAGCGAACAAGUACCGUGAGGGAAAGAUGAAAAGCACUUUGGAAAGAGAGUUAAACAGUACGUGAAAUUGCUGAAAGGGAAACGCUUGAAGUCAGUCGCGUUGUAUGGAACUCAACCUCGCUUUUGCGUGGUGCACUUUCUGUACGACGGGCCAGCAUCGAUUUUGACCGUCGGAUAAAGGUUGAGGGAAUGUGGCACCUUCGGGUGUGUUAUAGCCUUCAAUCGCAUACGACGGUUGGGAUCGAGGAACCCAGCGCGCCGCAAGGCAGGGGUUUUGCCCACUUUCGCGCUUAGGAUGCUGGCAUAAUGGCUUUAAACGACCCGUCUUGAAACACGGACCAAGGAGUCUAACAUACCUGCGAGUGUUKGGGUGGAAAACCCGAGCGCGUAAUGAAAGUGAAAG